rnacentral:misc_RNA from 1 species
GGAGCUUUAAAAUUUUCAUUCCUGUUAGUUGAAGACUUUGAAUAUCUAUAAUUACAAUGGACAGGAGCAUAAAAUCUAAACAAAAUCCAGUAUGCAAUCUAUUAAGCUAAGCCCAAAAAAGAUGACGUCCCUGACACAUCAAGCAAGUUGUCAGAACUGAUCAAUUUUGUGCUCCUAGAUGACAAUGUCACCUUUCUUCAUCUUUAACGAAACUCUUGAAACUUGAUCAAAGCCUAUAUCAUUUGGACUCAGGUAUGUGUCCUGGCUGGGACUUACCUAUUCUCCAAAAUUUUUGGACUUCCCAACAAUUUCAACAGAGUGUCAUA